ACCGGUGACAAUAGCGUAGAGGCCACACCCGUUCCCAUCUCGAACACGGAAGUUAAGCUCUAUAGCGCCGAUGGUACUACACGGGAGACUAG
rnacentral:rRNA from 1 species